AUGGUGAAAAGUGGCGCUGGAAUUCAACCAUACUCUGGUAAAGUAGGAUCCGAUGAUGUUGGGAAAGUUGAUAUGGCAUAUAGGGUUGUUGCAGAUCACAUAAGAACCCUUUCUUUUGCUAUUGCUGAUGGUUCUCAACCUGGUGAGCUCAUACGCCUUGUAGAUGUUUUUGUCCGAGUGAUGGGUGAUGUGUUUCCUGAGCUGAAGGACAAUGAAAAGAAGAUUAAAGAUAUAAUUGAAGAAGAAGAGGCAAGCUUUGAGAACACUCUAGCGAAGGGAUAUGAGAGAUUUAAGAAAGCUGCAAAUGCUGUCAAGGAGAAUGGCGGGACAAUACUUAGUGGCCAGGCAAUUGCUUUGGAUGCACUUGUUCUGUGGGACACAUAUGGCUAUCCAAUUGAUUUAACUGAGGUCAUGGCAGUUGACUUCGGGCUAUCUGUUGACAUGGAGGGUUUUAAUGUUUCUAUGGAAGAAGCAAGACAAAAGGCUAGGAAUGCUCGCUACAAGGCUGGUGGCAAGUCUAUUGUCCUCGAUGCUAAUGCUACAUCGCACCUGCGCAAUCAGGGGCUUGCCAGCACAAAUGAUAGCCCGAAAUUCCAACACAAGAAUUUCAUUCAAGUAGUGAAUUUACCUGGCUACCUGCCUUUGCUUGUUCUUGCACUGUUCAUAUUUCGCACUGUGGAGUUCAUAGCUACUGCAUUUGGUGAUGAAGAUUUUGGUCUUGUUUUGGAAAGCACAAGCUUCUAUGCGGAACAGGGCGGUCAGAUCUAUGACACUGGGAGUAUCGAGGGGGCAUCUGGAUCUUUCACUGUGAACAAUGUCCAAGUGUUUGCUGGAUAUGUCAUGCACAUCGGUUCAUUUCUGGAAGGGCCUGACUCCAAGGCAUUGUCUGUUGGCGAUGAAGUGAAAUGCAAAGUUGAUUACACACGGCGUACUCUGAUUGCUCCAAACCACACAUGUACCCAUAUGCUGAACUUUGCUCUAAGGGAAGUACUUGGUGACCAUAUUGACCAGAAAGGUUCCAUUGUUCUUUCAGAGAAGCUGAGAUUUGGUUUCUCCCAUGUGAAGAAGCAAAUAGAGGAUGAGCUGGAGGUAUCUGCACAAGAAAUAAAAUUAGCUGAUGCAGAGCGCAUAAAUGGUCUGCGAGCUGUGUUUGGUGAAAUUUACCCUCACCCUGUAAGAGUUGUAUCGAUUGGUCGCAAAGUGGAAGAUCUGCUUGCAAACCCUGAAAGCAAAGAAUGGUUAUCCAUAUCAACAGAGCUGUGUGGAGGCACACACAUUUCGAACACUAGAGAUGCCGCAGCAUUUGCCCUCAUAUCUGAAGAGGGUAUCGCAAAAGGUGUUCGGAGGAUAACGACUGUUACUGCUGAGUGUGCCUCACAGGCUAUGAAGUUGGCAUCAUCUAUCGAGACUGAUAUCAAUGAAGCAUCUAAACUGGACGGAGCGACAUUGGAAAAGAAAAUUGGGUCCAUCAAGAAUACACUGGAUGCCGCUGCUAUCCCAGCUGCAAGAAAAGCUGAUCUAAAAGGCAAUGUCUCAAAGUUGGAGGAUCAACUUAGGGAGGCGAAGAAGAAAAUGGGCAAAGAAAAUAUCCAAAAGGCUGUCAAGACUGCCAUAGAUGCCGUAGAAGCUGCUGUUUCUGAAGGAAAACCCUUCUGUGUUAUUCAUGUCGAUGUGGGUCUUGAUACCACUGCUGUCCAGGAAGCAGUUGUGAAAGCCAUGGACCGUUUCAAGGGUCUGCCGAUAAUGGUAUUCAGCACAGACGAGGCAUCACACAAGGCUGCUAUCUAUGCGGGUGUACCUCCGGACGCACCCAAUGGGUUCAAGGUGUUGGAUUGGCUUACGCCUUCAAUCGCACCACUCAAGGGCAAAGGAGGCAGCGGCAAGAAUGGUCUUGCCCAGGGCCAGGGAAGUGAUGCUUGUCGGGUCAAGGAGGCCAUGGAGCUUGCUACCCAGAUAGCUUCAAUGAAGCUGAGCUGA
rnacentral:rRNA from 1 species